rnacentral:rRNA from 1 species
AUGGCGCGUGCGCGCAGACUGAGCGCCGUUCUAAACUCUGGUACCGUGCUGCGGCCGGACAAGGGCGGCGUCCGCAGCCUCCUCCACCUGCUGCGCUGCAGCGACGUCGGCGAGAGCGACGCCGUCGACUGCGCCGCUGGCGGCAAGGAGGUCGCAGACCGGUGGCGCCGGUUUAUCAUCUUCGUCUCCGUCGUCGCGCAGAUGCUGCUGCUGUGGGUGAAGACGCCCAUGGCCAAGCUUGGGAGGGCCGUCGAGUUUUGGAUGAAUCUCAUCACGGACAAUGGCGGCGGCGCGCUCAAGCUUAUCAGGAACGCCAUGCAAGUAAGCACUGAGUACUCGCAAUAUCAAAUAGAGAUGGGAGAUCAGCAAGCGUUUGGUUGUUCUUGCUGGGAAACCGGAGAAUCCUCCAACUAUCGAUCGCUCAUCGGACUUAUCGACAUGAGAAUCGAAUUGGACAAGAAGAUCAAGCCAGAGGAUGGCAGUUACCUCGCUGCUCUGGGCAUCAUGGCCUCGAAACUAGCCUACGAGAACGAGCUGGUCAUCAAGAACGUUGUCGAAAACCACUGGCAGAUGAAAUUCCUCGAGUUCUUCAACUGCUGGAAUGAAUUCCGAGGCGAUCACACGACCCAGGCCUUCAUGUUCGCGGACAAGCCGGACGACGCCCACCUCGUCGUGGUGGCGUUCCGGGGCACGCAGCCGUUCGACGCGGAGGACUGGUGCACGGACGUCGACAUCUCCUGGUACGAGAUCCCCAGGGUGGGCAAGGUCCACGGUGGCUUCAUGAAGGCGCUCGGGCUGCAAAGGGAUGCCGUCGGCUGGCCGGCGGAGAUCAAGGCGACCAAGGGCCGGCCGUUCACCUACUACGCCGUCCGCGACGCGCUGAAGAAGUCCCUAGCGGCCAACUCGCGCGCCCGGUUCGCGGUGACAGGCCACAGCCUGGGCGGCGCGCUCGCUGUGCUGUUCCCGGCCAUCCUCGCCCUGCACGGAGAGCAUGACCUGCUCGCCAGGCUCCAUGGCGUGUACACGGGGAGAUACUUCCGGUUCGUGUACUGCAACGACAUCGUGCCGAGGGUGCCGUACGACGGCCUGUUCAAGCACUUCGGCCGGUGCAUCUACUUCGAUGGCUUCUACAAGGCGCGGGCCAUGGAGGAGGAGCCCAACAAAAACUACUUCUCGCUCGCGUUCGUGGUGUCCAAGUACAUGAACGCGGUAUGGGAGCUCGCCCGGGGGCUCGUCAUCGGGCACGUAGACGGGGCGGAGUACGUGGAGGGGUGGACGAUGAGGGUCGCCCGGGCGGUUGGGCUGCUCAUCCCCGGUCUGCCGGCCCACGCGCCGCAAGACUAUGUGAACGCCACCAGGCUCGGGGCCGCGUCGCUCGACCUGCUUCUCCGUGACCAUUAA